UACGUAGGGGGCAAGCGUUGUCCGGAAUCAUUGGGCGUAAAGCGCGUGUAGGCGGCCCAGUAAGUCCGCUGUGAAAGUCGGGGGCUCAACCCUCGAAUGCCGGUGGAUACUGUCGGGCUAGAGUGCGGAAGAGGCGAGUGGAAUUCCUGGUGUAGCGGUGAAAUGCGCAGAUAUCAGGAGGAACACCUAUUGCGAAGGCAGCUCGCUGGGACGUAACUGACGCUGAGACGCGAAAGCGUGGGGAGCAAACAGG
rnacentral:rRNA from 1 species